UGGUGGGGACUCAUGGGAGACUGCCGGGGUCAACUCGGAGGAAGGUGAGGACGACGUCAAAUCAUCAUGCCCCUUAUGUCUUGGGCUUCACGCAUGCUACAAUGGCCGGUACAAUGGGUUGCGAUACUGUGAGGUGGAGCUAAUCCCAAAAAGCCGGUCUCAGUUCGGAUUGGGGUCUGCAACUCGACCCCAUGAAGUCGGAGUCGCUAGUAAUCGCAGAUCAGCAACGCUGCGGUGAAUACGUUCCCGGGCCUUGUACACACCGCCCGUCAAGUCACGAAAGUUGGUAACACCCGAAGCCGGUGGCCUAACCCUUGUGGGGGGAGCCGUCGAAGGUGGGACCAGCGAUUGGGACUU
rnacentral:rRNA from 1 species